UCCCGUUCCCUCCCCUCCCCUCCUCAAUCACACACACACACACACACACACACACACAAAUUAUAACAUUUUAUUUAUUUGCAGUUUGGGUUUGAAGGCCGUUUCGCCCUGCGCUGGGGAGAGAGAGAGGGAGGGAGAGAGAGAGAAUUUGGCACGUUCGCUCUCGGCGGCUGGAACUGCCUUUAAAACGGGAUCAGCACAGUCGCUCCGUGUGAAGUGACAACAGCUUCCGUCCCUGAAACUUUGCGGUUUUUGUUUGGUAAAAGUUACCACGUCGCGUAAACACUGACAAGACACACACACAUAUCUGGACUUUGGUUUAACAAAAAAAACUCCGAAAGAGAAAUUGUUUUCCUGGAGGGUUUUAUUUUGAAAGAGAAGAGAAAAAAUCAGAAGGCAAAACUGACCAGAACUGACAACCAUUCGGGAAAGAGCUACAGUUACAAGUCUACAGCCUCGGCAUCAGGGAAGAGGAGGACAAGAAAGGAGACAAGUCCAACUGUGCUAACUGCAGAGGGAUCUCCUGGAGAACAUCAUCGACAGGUCCUCCCCGAAUGCUUCCCCCAAUGCCCAAAGAACUGCUCCCCAUUCCAUCCACCCAGAGGCACAGUGGACACGACCUUCACUGCAAGAAGCAGCACCAGCCACUGCUCAUGUCUUUCUCGAGCCCACUCAAGACUCUGACUCCAUCAAGGAGAGGGACCUUCCUCAAACUCAGCUGCCCUCAGAAAUCUAUCUCCAUCUUACACUUGCUCUAUGACAGCUCGCAGGCUGUGUAUUAACCGAAGGGUCUACAUCAGAACCAUUCUUGUGAAGGCCACUUCAUUGCCCCAAUACUUUUCUCAAUCUUUCUCACUACAAUGUUGGACCUCACCUCCAAUUAACAUCCCACAGGAGUGGAGAUAGUCUUCAGAAUUAAAGGGAUGUUGUUCAACCUACCAUAAAUGCACUCCAGAAUGCAGGUUAGCCCAACCUAGGUGGUUGAACUGUGGUAUAAGGCAAUGCUGGCAUUUGUGGAUGUUCAGAGUCUGAGCUCCAAGCAACUCUGAACAUUUUCAUAGGUGGGGAUGGACCUUACAUUCAACAUCAGCAGAUCAAAUGUCUUCUACCAACUUGUCCUCAUGAGGCUACACUGCCCUCUGACAAUAAAGGUCCAAGGUAAGACCCUGGAAAAGGAAAACCACUUCCCAUAUCACUCUCAGUGAAGGCAGGCAGCAAUGAUGACAUUCACCAUCAUCUUCACCCUGCCAGCAUGUCCUCUGGAUGACUGAAAAAAAAGGUAUUUGAAGAUCAAACCUGGCACAAAACCCUCAAUAUACUGGGUAACAGGGAUCCUUGCCCUCCUUUAUACUGGAGACAAGGACUACCUACAGCAGGCUCCUCAGGGCAGUGAAACGAUACCACCAAUCCCAUCUCUGCAAAAUCCUUCCAAUUCCACUGGAGGAUGAGCAAGCCAAGAACAAUGCCUUCUCCCAGGCCUGGCCUGAGGCAGGCGUAACAUUCGGUGGCUACAUGGGGCAGGCCCUAUUAGGACACAGAUACCCCAUUACAAGCUCUGUUACAGGACCAGGUUACCGGACGGACAGAGAAAAUGAUGCAAGGAUGUGCUGAAAGAAAUGCAGCAUCCUCGCUGACUCCUGGGAAUCUCUGGCCCGUGGCCAUUCAAAGUGAAGAAGAAAUGUUAUUGAGCGCCUUGAGGCCUGGAAUCAGGAGCACACAGGUGUCCUGCACUGCCUCACAAACCCCCCUCAUGCUCACCCCACCAGUCAUCUCCAGCCCCGUCUGUGAAAGAGUCAACAGUUCCCACAGUGGCCUCAUUGGCUACCUCAGGACCAGAGUGGAAAUCAUCCUCAAUCCCUAAAGAGAAUACUCAGCUUGCUGGACACAACUGCACCAAUCAUCAACAAACAUUCAGCUGAUGUGACUCGAGGUUUUGGAGGACACUCUCACCAGAUUCUGCCAGCCUUCUGUCCACACCAUGGGUUUGCCUACACUGAGCACUGGGAAACUGCACUGAUGGAAGGGUCGGUGACCUUGGACACAGGUUUAAGAUUUGGGACAAGAGGCGAAGAAGGAAUGAGGAGAGGUUUGACAUGCCGAGUUGUUGCGAUCUGCAGAGAUGGCAGGAGAAGGUUCAACAGGGAUGUUGAGAAGAUGUUUUAUUCGCUACAUUCGGCCUCCUUUGGAAAAAGAAAAUCUGGGAAGUACUUUGAAAGAGCCUAGUCCCAAAACAUCAGCAUCAACAGAAGUGUUGCCACAAGACGAUCGAUAUCGAAGCUCUCAAGGACUCCAUGAAGCUGGUUCUUCUCAGAAACCCCCUCUCAAGCAACUUGUCACCUCUCUGCCUUUCAAAAUCACAGCUUAUGGGCUGCCCAGAAGCCCACCAAAAUUGGCGCCCGUAAAGAAACUCUUGGCUCCUCAACCAAGAAGGAACCAGCUCUGGUUUGAUGAGAAUGACCUGGGGACUGAGGAGCUAAUUAACCCCAAACAUGAGGUGUUCCUGGACUGGAAGCCCCAGCAUUUCUCGGGGGAAAAGGAACAGCUCAAUAGGUACAUGAAGGUAGAGGUCCAUCAAAAAAUCCAGGGCCUAAAGAACAGGUGAUGGACAUAGAGAGGGUAGGAGGCUCAGCAACUCACUGACACCCAAGACCUCCCCAACACCCAAGGCCCCACCCCUCUGAGAGCCAAGGUCAGGGCUGAACUCUCAGGAACAGAGAGGCAAUUAACUCCACUGGAAAUCAGCUCAAGCAUCUUGAUGUGAGCACUCCUGACUCCAGCCUACAGUACCCUAUUCAGUUCAGCCUUGCUGAUACUCCUGACACUCCUGACUGACAAGAAGUUGAAAAGGACAUAUCCCAAUUAAAAAAUAACAAGGUCUCAGGAGCAGACUGCAUCUAUGAAGUUCUAAAACGUAGCGUUGAAGAGCUUCAGUCACAAAUCCACCAUCUUAUUGUCCACAUCGGGGAAGAGGUGGACAGACCAGGGGAUCCCAGGGUGACCGUCUUCAGGAAGGGAGACGAAUCCACUGGAGUGAACUGCAGAGGGGAUUCCCUGUGCCUGGUAAUAGGGAAAGUCAUUGCUGGACUCCUCAUGAUGUGAGGAAUUCCUGGAAUGGGAGGGACUAUGGAAUACCCUCAUCAAAUGUGAUUGCCAGUGGAUGUUUGUCACUGUUUUAUGAUAGAGCUUAUACUAGCAUAGCCCCAAGGGCAGAAUGGACUGUUGCUGUGUUCCAGGCUCAAUGGAAUUCUGACUGCAAUGUUUACAUUUCCCAGCAAAUUUGUUGCACAGCAGUCUGAAGCAGGGGAGUUCUCCAUGUUUCCGUCACAUUCCCUCAUCUGGGGGAUGAUGGGCCAGAUUCACUCACCGCUACCUCAGGCAGGGAACCUUACAUUCCAGUGCAUUGGUAGCUGCGAUCCACAUUUGGACAUCAAUAGAAUGAACUGAGAUGCAAUGGAACAGGUGCGAUGAUCGGAUGGGAAAGUGGGCUAUUUUUAUUCCUUCACAGGAUGCUGCUGCAAAGGCCAGCGUUUAUUCCCCAUCCCUAAUUGCCCUUUAGGAUGUGGUGGUGAGGUGCCAUCUAGAACCACGGCAGCCCUUCUGAUGUCGGGGCUGUCGGGACAGAGUUCCAGGAUUCAGACUCAAUGAUGUUGAAGGAAUGGGGAUAUAUUUCCCAAUCAGGAUGUUGGGUGACUCGGAGGGGCUUGUAUUGCCGAGUACCAUUGGGUUGGAGGUGAUGGGUUUGGGAGGUUCUGCUGGGGCAGCCCGGAUGAAUAACUGAAGUGUAUUUUGUAGAUGGGACACACUGCAACCAUGGUGUGCCAACGGCGGAGGGAUGAAGGUUUGAAGGUGGAGUGCCAAAGAAAGAAACUGCACUGCCCUCAGUUGCAUUGAGCUUCUUGAGUGCUGUUGGCAAGUGCAAGUGGAGGGUGUUCAUUCAGGCCUUUGGCUUGUUACUUAAGGUCGGAUUAAGUGCUCAUCCAGCUCCAGAUAGAGCUUCAUCCGUGAUAUGCUCAGCGAUUUUGGAACUAUUCCCUGUAUGUUCUUCCCCAAACUAAAAUGCCUCAGCCCUAACCACUACUUCACAUUAGUCGGCAAAGGAUGGGUUAAAUGUUGAUUAGAUUCUUAACGUGAUUUGCUUUCCACAAGAUGCUCACAUUUUCAGAAGCAAUGUCUAUAAUUCAGUCAUGGAAGUGGGAAAAAAAAAUCAUCAGAGGUGUAGGUAGUUGUCAGACUUGCCAUCCAAUGUGCCCUGGCUGAGAUGUCACCAGAGCUGCCAUUUCAUGGAAGUGGCGAAGGCUUUCCUUGGCAUCUUUCUUUUAGGAACUUAUUCCAACAUUUGGCUCCACAUACGAGACAGAGGGAGAGAUAGAGGGAGAGAAAGACAGAAAGAGAGAAGGUGGGGGGGAUUUGGAAAGGGAGAAUGUGAAAGAGAGGAAGGGAGUGAUAGAAAAACAAGGAGAGAGGGUAAUGUGAAAGAGACAGAAAGGAGUAAGAGUGAAAGAGAGAGAAGGAGGAAGAGAACAGAGGAGGAGUAGGAGUGAAAAUUAAAGAGGGAGAAAGGAAAGGGGGAAGUGAUAAAGAAGAGAAAAAGAAAGAAAGUGAGAGAAAGAUUGAGCAAGGCAGGGGGACAGAGAGAGAGGAGAUAGAAAGGCAAGAAGGCAGAGAGGAGGGAAAGGGAGGUGGGACGAGGAUGGGGUACGUGGUCCUUUCCAAACAUGGAACAUAAAUAGAAUGUAAAACAGUCCAGCACCGGACAGGCCAUUCGGCCCACCAUGUUGUGCCAACCUUGAUGCCAACUUAUACUGAAUGUCCUCAUCCAUAUUCCCCCUUUCCCUUCAUAUUCAUAUGUCUACCUAAAAGCCUCUUAAUCUCCACCGAACCGCCUGUUUCCACUACUACCCCUGGUGACCCAUUCCAGGCACCUACCCCUCUCUGCAUAAAAGACUUGCCCCUCACAACGCCUUUAAACAUCCUCCCCCCAACCUUAAAGGCUCUGGUGUUUGAUAUUUCCACUCUGGGGAGAUGAUACUGACUGUCUUCCCCAUCUCUGCCUCUCAUAAUUUUGGAAACCUCUAUCAGGAGGGGGGGAUGCCUCAGCCUCUGAUGCUCUAGGGAAACACAUGUUUUCCAAAAAAGGAGGCCAAUUUUUGUCACGUGGGUCAGAAUGGGAGCCCGUACAUGCGGCAAAACCAAGGGAAUGGCUGUCAGUUGGUAAGUACCCAGAGUUGUAUAAUAUUAACCCAGAGAGAUGAAAGCAAUGGCAAAGGUGACACACGCUUCCAGUUGUC